rnacentral:rRNA from 1 species
CAGUAGCCGCGGUAAUACGAAGGGUGCAAGCGUUACUCGGAAUUACUGGGCGUAAAGCGUGCGUAGGUGGUGGUUUAAGUCCGUUGUGAAAGCCCUGGGCUCAACCUGGGAAUUGCAGUGGAUACUGGGUCACUAGAGUGUGGUAGAGGAUAGUGGAAUUUCCGGUGUAGCAGUGAAAUGCGUAGAGAUCGGAAGGAACAUCUGUGGCGAAGGCGACUAUCUGGGCCAACACUGACACUGAGGCACGAAAGCGUGGGGAGCAAACAGGAUUAGAUACCCCGGUAGUCCCUGUCUCUUAUAU